rnacentral:rRNA from 1 species
GACGAACGCUGGCGGCGUGCUUAACACAUGCAAGUCGAACGGUAAGGCCCUUCGGGGUACACGAGUGGCGAACGGGUGAGUAACACGUGGGUGAUCUGCCCCGCACUUCGGGAUAAGCCUGGGAAACUGGGUCUAAUACCGGAUAGGACUCCGGACUGCAUGGUCUGGGGUGGAAAGCUUUUGCGGUGUGGGAUGGGCCCGCGGCCUAUUAGCUUGUUGGUGGGGUGAUGGCCUACCAAGGCGACGACGGGUAGCCGGCCUGAGAGGGUGACCGGCCACACUGGGACUGAGAUACGGCCCAGACUCCUACGGGAGGCAGCAGUGGGGAAUAUUGCACAAUGGGCGCAAGCCUGAUGCAGCGACGCCGCGUGAGGGAUGACGGCCUUCGGGUUGUAAACCUCUUUCAGCAUCGACGAAGCGAAAGUGACGGUAGGUGCAGAAGAAGGACCGGCCAACUACGUGCCAGCCGCCGCGGUAA